rnacentral:misc_RNA from 1 species
UGCAUGGCUUAAUCUUUGAGACAAGCAUAUGACUACUGGCAGGAUCAACCAGGUAGCAUUCUUUCUCGACUUCGGACCCGCAUUGAUGCCACGGGCCUAGACGGCCCGCGGUCAAUGGGGGUAGCGAGAGUCAUUCUUAUCGAGGGACUUGAUUGGAGCGACCGGAGGCCAAGACCCCCCACGUCCGCUUAAUUUUCCACAUCCGAGAGCACGAGCAGUUGUCCUGUGGACCGAGACAGCCACGACAAAAGUCAGAGGACACCUCCGGGACACGGGGACUGCUUUCGAGGUCCACAUUGCAGCCGCAAAGCAACAAGGAGGACAGUUGCGGGGCUGUCCGACGAAUUUUUCCUUACGAUGGGAAGGCAACACAGGA